rnacentral:rRNA from 1 species
AGCAGCAGCCGCGGUAAUACAGAGGGUGCGAGCGUUAAUCGGAUUUACUGGGCGUAAAGCGUGCGUAGGCGGCUUCUUAAGUCGGAUGUGAAAUCCCUGAGCUUAACUUAGGAAUUGCAUUCGAUACUGGGAAGCUAGAGUAUGGGAGAGGAUGGUAGAAUUCCAGGUGUAGCGGUGAAAUGCGUAGAGAUCUGGAGGAAUACCGAUGGCGAAGGCAGCCAUCUGGCCUAAUACUGACGCUGAGGUACGAAAGCAUGGGGAGCAAACAGGAUUAGAUACCCCGUAGUCCCUGUCUCUUAUACA